GACGUCGUCGUCCGCGACGAAGACGUCGGCCGUGAACAGAUCGACGAUGAGAGGCCUACGUUCGAUUGGAGCUCACCCUUUUCUACGUCCUGAAAAAAUACAGCCAGUAAAUUCAGAUUAUGCGAUGAUACAGAACCGGCUUAUGGAAGACGGAGAAUUUCAAGGUCAACUUCUUUUUUUCAUGGAUUUUCUUUGGAAUUUUUUAGUCUGACAAGUAGGAAAGAUAGUUAUGUAAAGAAUGAAACAAAAACGAGGAAAGUAUCACAUCGUAUCUUAGCGCUUCCUGUGAUUAUCGAACUACUUUCUGAACCAGUUUGAAAAGGUUAAUUAGGUGAUACUUUGAAUUGGAAUAAUUAAUAUAAUUGUAUGAACAAUCUGAAUUUCAGUUUCUAGAGAAAGGAAUAAAAAUGUACUGAAAUUUUUUAUUUCAAUAUACAACACUUAUCGUCUAGGAGGUGUUAAUAUUUUAUUUCAAAUAUUUUACUUGUGUGCCGAAAAUUUCUAUUUUGUUUCCUAAGUGUACACAGCUAAUAUUUGAUCUGUGUAUUGCCCGUCAUUAAAUAAAUAAAGAAGAUCGUACAAUGAAUUGUAAUUUCAUAUAAAAAUUCCUAUUUAAUAAACAAUUGAUAUUUAAAACAGUAAAAUUAAUGCAAA